rnacentral:rRNA from 1 species
UACAGGGGGGGCAAGCGUUGUUCGGAAUUACUGGGCGUAAAGGGUUUGUAGGUGGCUUGCUAAGUCAGACGUGAAAUCCCUCAGCUUAACUGGGGAACUGCGUCUGAUACUGGCGAGCUUGAGUGCAGGAGAGGAACGCGGAAUUCCAGGUGUAGCGGUGAAAUGCGCAGAUAUCAGGAGGAACACCGGUGGCGAAGGCGGAUCUCUGGGCCUUACCUGACGCUGAGGCGCGAAAGCUAGGGGAGCAAACAGG